rnacentral:rRNA from 1 species
AGAGUUUGAUCCUGGCUCAGGACGAACGCUGGCGGCGCGCCUAACACACGCAAGUCGAACGAGCGAGAGGAGGUUUACUUUCUCAAGCGAGUGGCGAACGGGUGAGUAACGCGUGAGGAACCUGCCUCAAAGAGGGGGACAACAGUUGGAAACGACUGCUAAUACCGCAUAAGCCCACGACCCGGCAUCGGGUAGAGGGAAAAGGAGCAAUCCGCUUUGAGAUGGCCUCGCGUCCGAUUAGCUAGUUGGUGAGGUAAUGGCCCACCAAGGCGACGAUCGGUAGCCGGACUGAGAGGUUGAACGGCCACAUUGGGACUGAGACACGGCCCAGACUCCUACGGGAGGCAGCAGUGGGGAAUAUUGCACAAUGGGGGAAACCCUGAUGCAGCGACGCCGCGUGGAGGAAGAAGGUCUUCGGAUUGUAAACUCCUGUUGUUGAGGAAGAUAAUGACGGUACUCAACAAGGAAGUGACGGCUAACUACGUGCCAGCAGCCGCGGUAAAACGUAGGUCACAAGCGUUGUCCGGAAUUACUGGGUGUAAAGGGAGCGCAGGCGGGAAGACAAGUUGGAAGUGAAAUCCAUGGGCUCAACCCAUGAACUGCUUUCAAAACUGUUUUUCUUGAGUAGUGCAGAGGUAGGCGGAAUUCCCGGUGUAGCGGUGGAAUGCGUAGAUAUCGGGAGGAACACCAGUGGCGAAGGCGGCCUACUGGGCACCAACUGACGCUGAGGCUCGAAAGUGUGGGUAGCAAACAGGAUUAGAUACCCUGGUAGUCCACACUGUAAACGAUGAUUACUAGGUGUUGGAGGAUUGACCCCUUCAGUGCCGCAGUUAACACAAUAAGUAAUCCACCUGGGGAGUACGACCGCAAGGUUGAAACUCAAAGGAAUUGACGGGGGCCCGCACAAGCAGUGGAGUAUGUGGUUUAAUUCGACGCAACGCGAAGAACCUUACCAAGUCUUGACAUCCUUCUGACCGGUACUUAACCGUACUUUCUCUUCGGAGCAGGAGUGACAGGUGGUGCAUGGUUGUCGUCAGCUCGUGUCGUGAGAUGUUGGGUUAAGUCCCGCAACGAGCGCAACCCUUAUCUUUAGUAGCCAGCGGUCCGGCCGGGCACUCUAGAGAGACUGCCAGGGAUAACCUGGAGGAAGGCGGGGAUGACGUCAAAUCAUCAUGCCCCUUAUGACUUGGGCUACACACGUGCUACAAUGGCGUAAACAAAGGGAAGCAAAGCUGUGAAGCCGAGCAAAUCUCAAAAAUAACGUCUCAGUUCGGACUGUAGUCUGCAACCCGACUACACGAAGCUGGAAUCGCUAGUAAUCGCAGAUCAGAAUGCUGCGGUGAAUACGUUCCCGGGUCUUGUACACACCGCCCGUCA